rnacentral:rRNA from 1 species
UUGAUCCUGGCUCAGAUUGAACGCUGGCGGCAGGCCUAACACAUGCAAGUCGGACGGUAGCACAGAGAGCUUGCUCUUGGGUGACGAGUGGCGGACGGGUGAGUAAUGUCUGGGGAUCUGCCCGAUAGAGGGGGAUAACCACUGGAAACGGUGGCUAAUACCGCAUAACGUCGCAAGACCAAAGAGGGGGACCUUCGGGCCUCUCACUAUCGGAUGAACCCAGAUGGGAUUAGCUAGUAGGCGGGGUAAUGGCCCACCUAGGCGACGAUCCCUAGCUGGUCUGAGAGGAUGACCAGCCACACUGGAACUGAGACACGGUCCAGACUCCUACGGGAGGCAGCAGUGGGGAAUAUUGCACAAUGGGCGCAAGCCUGAUGCAGCCAUGCCGCGUGUAUGAAGAAGGCCUUCGGGUUGUAAAGUACUUUCAGCGGGGAGGAAGGCGGUGAGGUUAAUAACCUUGCCGAUUGACGUUACCCGCAGAAGAAGCACCGGCUAACUCCGUGCCAGCAGCCGCGGUAAUACGGAGGGUGCAAGCGUUAAUCGGAAUUACUGGGCGUAAAGCGCACGCAGGCGGUCUGUUAAGUCAGAUGUGAAAUCCCCGGGCUUAACCUGGGAACUGCAUUUGAAACUGGCAGGCUUGAGUCUCGUAGAGGGGGGUAGAAUUCCAGGUGUAGCGGUGAAAUGCGUAGAGAUCUGGAGGAAUACCGGUGGCGAAGGCGGCCCCCUGGACGAAGACUGACGCUCAGGUGCGAAAGCGUGGGGAGCAAACAGGAUUAGAUACCCCUGGUAGUCCACGCCGUAAACGAUGUCGACUUGGAGGUUGUUCCCUUGAGGAGUGGCUUCCGGAGCUAACGCGUUAAGUCGACCGCCUGGGGAGUACGGCCGCAAGGUUAAAACUCAAAUGAAUUGACGGGGGCCCGCACAAGCGGUGGAGCAUGUGGUUUAAUUCGAUGCAACGCGAAGAACCUUACCUACUCUUGACAUCCAGAGAACUUAGCAGAGAUGCUUUGGUGCCUUCGGGAACUCUGAGACAGGUGCUGCAUGGCUGUCGUCAGCUCGUGUUGUGAAAUGUUGGGUUAAGUCCCGCAACGAGCGCAACCCUUAUCCUUUGUUGCCAGCGAUUCGGUCGGGAACUCAAAGGAGACUGCCGGUGAUAAACCGGAGGAAGGUGGGGAUGACGUCAAGUCAUCAUGGCCCUUACGAGUAGGGCUACACACGUGCUACAAUGGCGCAUACAAAGAGAAGCGACCUCGCGAGAGCAAGCGGACCUCACAAAGUGCGUCGUAGUCCGGAUCGGAGUCUGCAACUCGACUCCGUGAAGUCGGAAUCGCUAGUAAUCGUGGAUCAGAAUGCCACGGUGAAUACGUUCCCGGGCCUUGUACUCACCGC